CGACGAUCCGUAGCGGGUCGUGAGAGGAUGAUCCGCCACACUGGGACUGAGACACGGCCCAGACUCCUACGGGAGGCAGCAGUGGGGAAUUUUGGACAAUGGGCGCAAGCCUGAUCCAGCCAUGCCGCGUGAGUGAAGAAGGCCUUCGGGUUGUAAAAGCUCUUUCGGCGGGGAAGAAAUUGGCACGGGUUAAUACCCCUGUGUAGAUGACGGUACCCGAAUAAGAAGCACCGGCUAACUACGUGCCAGCAGCCGCGGUAAUACGUAGGGUGCGAGCGUUAAUCGGAAUUACUGGGCGUAAAGCGUGCGCAGGCGGUUUGGUAAGUCAGAUGUGAAAUCCCCGGGCUCAACCUGGGAACUGCAUUUGAGACUGCCAGGCUGGAGUUUUGGCAGAGGGGGGUGGAAUUCCACGUGUAGCAGUGAAAUGCGUAGAGAUGUGGAGGAACACCGAUGGCGAAGGCAGCCCCCUGGGCCAAUACUGACGCUCAUGCACGAAAGCGUGGGGAGU
rnacentral:rRNA from 1 species